rnacentral:lncRNA from 1 species
CUUGACCAACCCUGGUGCUUCUCCAUGUGCCUUCAGUAGCAUGGCAUGACCCCUUCUCCUGGGAUCUAAAUGCCAGAAAAUCAAUGCUACGCUCUUUCUCCAAAGGAGCCUGCAAUCAAUGACUGAUGGGUGUAAUGGAUAUAUACCCGGCUCCCACAUCCCUGGGGUGGAAUAACUCAAAGGCUGUGUUAUACACUGAUUACCAAAGUUGCCAAAUGGAAUUAAGCUCCAGUGAGGCACCUGGACUACAUACCCUUUAAGCUAACUUUCCUUCCCCAAAUUACACCCUCACUCUCCACUGGUGUUCAAUGAGCUCAACUCCCAAAUAAAGCGCUUGUUUUGAA